UGGAUAGUUAAUUAUUAUGGUUAGUGAUGUGAUUAGUGAGAAUACAUGUGUGAUUUUUUUUUUAGUCAAAGAGAAUCCUUUGCGCGUGAGAUGAGGGAACGUGUUAUCUGUCCUUUUUUUUUUUUUUUGAUGUUGAACUAAAUACGUGUACAAUGUCUUAUUUGAGUUGAGAGAUCUCUUUGUUUUUUUUCUUUUUUCAAGGGACAAUCAAUAAUGUUUGUGUUUUCUCUUUUUAUAAUAUGAUUGGUGUAUCAAAUAUUAGCUUUAUUGAAAAAC
rnacentral:lncRNA from 1 species